rnacentral:rRNA from 1 species
UACGUAGGGUGCAAGCGUUGUCCGGAAUUACUGGGCGUAAAGAGCUCGUAGGCGGUCUGUCGCGUCGGCUGUGAAAACCCGAGGCUCAACCUCGGGCCUGCAGUCGAUACGGGCAGACUAGAGUUCGGCAGGGGAGACUGGAAUUCCUGGUGUAGCGGUGAAAUGCGCAGAUAUCAGGAGGAACACCGGUGGCGAAGGCGGGUCUCUGGGCCGACACUGACGCUGAGGAGCGAAAGCGUGGGGAGCGAACAGG